UAAGGUGGUUAUAGCGAUGGGGCUCACCUCUUACCAUUCCGAACAGAGAAGUUAAGCCAUUUGCGCAGAUGGUACUGCUUUAUUGUGGGAGAGUAUGUCGCCGCCUUCU
rnacentral:rRNA from 1 species